rnacentral:rRNA from 1 species
AGAACGAACGCUGGCGGCAGGCUUAACACAUGCAAGUCGAACGGUUGUAGCAAUACAGCAGUGGCAGACGGGUGAGUAACACGUGGGAACCUUCCUAGGGGUACGGAACAACUCAGGGAAACUUGAGCUAAUACCGUAUACGUCCGUGAGGAGAAAGUUUUAACGCCCCUAGACGGGCCCGCGUAGGAUUAGGUAGUUGGUGAGGUAACGGCUCACCAAGCCUACGAUCCUUAGCUGAUCUGAGAGGAUGAUCAGCCACACUGGGACUGAGACACGGCCCAGACUCCUACGGGAGGCAGCAGUGGGGAAUCUUGGACAAUGGGCGCAAGCCUGAUCCAGCCAUGCCGCGUGAGUGAAGAGGCCUUAGGGUUGUAAAGCUCUUUUGUCGGGGACGAUAAUGACGGUACCGAAGAAUAAGCUCCGGCUAACUUCGUGCCAGCAGCCGC